rnacentral:rRNA from 1 species
UACGAAGGGGACUAGCGUUGUUCGGAAUCACUGGGCGUAAAGCGGGCGCAGGCGGACUGUCAAGUCAGGGGUGAAAUCCCAAGGCUCAACCUUGGAAUUGCCUUUGAAACUGACAGUCUGGAGUGUGUGAGGGGGUAGCGGAAUUCCGAAUGUAGAGGUGAAAUUCGUAGAUAUUCGGAGGAACACCGGUGGCGAAGGCGGCUACCUGGCACACAACUGACGCUGAGGCCCGAAAGCGUGGGGAUCAAACAGG